AACGAACGCUGGCGGCAUGCCUAACACAUGCAAGUCGAACGAGACCUUCGGGUCUAGUGGCGCACGGGUGCGUAACGCGUGGGAACCUGCCCUUAGGUUCGGAAUAACUCCCCGAAGGGGGUGCUAAUACCGGAUAAUGUCUUCGGACCAAAGAUUUAUCGCCUUUGGACGGGCCCGCGUUGGAUUAGCUAGUUGGUAGGGUAAAAGCCUACCAAGGCGACGAUCCAUAGCUGGUCUGAGAGGAUGAUCAGCCACACUGGGACUGAGACACGGCCCAGACUCCUACGGGAGGCAGCAGUGGGGAAUAUUGGACAAUGGGCGAAAGCCUGAUCCAGCAAUGCCGCGUGAGUGAUGAAGGCCUUAGGGUUGUAAAGCUCUUUUACCCGGGAUGAUAAUGACAGUACCGGGAGAAUAAGCUCCGGCUAACUCCGUG
rnacentral:rRNA from 1 species